UACGAACCGUCCAAACGUUAUUCGGAAUUACUCGGCUUAAAGGGUACGUAGGCGGCGCUGUUAGUCGGGUGUGGAAUCCCACGGCUCAACCGUGGAACUGCGCCCGAUACUGCAGUGCUUGAGGGAGACAGAGGUAAGCGGAACUGAUGGUGGAGCGGUGAAAUGCGUUGAUAUCAUCAGGAACACCAGUGGCGAAAGCGGCUUACUGGGUCUCUUCUGACGCUGAGGUACGAAAGCUAGGGGAGCGAAGGGG
rnacentral:misc_RNA from 1 species